UACAGAGGUCCCAAGCGUUGUUCGGAUUCACUGGGCGUAAAGGGUGCGUAGGCGGUCGGGUAAGUCUGAUGUGAAAUCUCACAGCUUAACUGUGAAACUGCAUUGGAUACUAUCCGGCUAGAGGAAUGGAGGGGAGACUGGAAUUUACGGUGUAGCAGUGAAAUGCGUAGAUAUCGUAAGGAAGACCGGUGGCGAAGGCUAGUCUCUGGACAGUUACUGACACUGAGGCACGAAGGCCAGGGGAGCAAACGGG
rnacentral:rRNA from 1 species